rnacentral:tRNA from 1 species
GGCGUGGCUGGUGUGGAUGGCGGUGGGCCGUGGCUUGCGACCGCUGCGGGAGAUCGCCACCGAAGUCCGUGCGCGCGAUGCGAACGCGCUCACGCCGC